GACAGUGACUUGCUAUGCGCCCUCUGGGGACUAGGCUGAUCAAAGACGACCCCCAUCUCCAGUCUAAUUGGGCCAUAGGUAGAAAAGAAAGACACGGCCGAGUUUUCUGUGAGAGGUGGCUGCCAUACGCUCGCUCACCUCUGGACUCCUGGCUCCUCUCCUAUUCAGGUUGCCUGGAUGCAGGCCUCCCGCAAGGAGCCAGUUUCUGUACUGGACUGCAGCCAAUCCAUGAAGGGGAAGGAGCCCAUGGGUUGGCCACAGUGUCCUUCUGGAUGCCUCCUUUAAUGUGGGCCUUCAGGGAGCCACAGCAGAGCUCUACGACAUGGAGGUCCUAUGCAUCUGGAAACCAAGGCUGUGAGGAUUGACGCGCCUGGUACCAGGAAAAGCUCCCAGGUGGGAGGUAGCUCAUCGUUUCUGGAUGACAGAGCACAACGCAGGAUCCAUGCUGACGAAGAGCUAGACCCAAACCAAAAGGAGUGUGAAUGGUCGUCUUUCUAAAUUGUACUUCAAGCAUACCAGGUGACUGUGGCUGAAACAUUCACUGUGUCUGCAGUUCCGAGGAAAGCCCCCUUACUGCCCCACUCCCCUACCCCUUACUUGAUCUUGCUCUAGGAUUCAUUUUUGACUGGAGAGAGUGCCAGUCACACCAUCGGUCUUUUAGCCUGUUGAGUGGUGAUUUCUAAUAUCUAUUUGCUUGUUUGGAGACAGGGUCUCACAUUGUUAACUCUAGUUGGCCAGGAACUCAGAGCAAUCCUCCUGCAUCAGCUCCCCAGUGCUUGGAUUUCAUGCAUGAAUCAAAGCAUAGCUGUUUGUUUGUUUGUUUGUUUGUUUGUUUUCUCUAGUCAUCAGUGCCUCUUGCCAUGCAGAGGGGGCUAAGGAAGGCUCAGGAAGCUGACGGGGCCUGCCCCAGGCCUCUGUCCUACCUGAGGAAGGAGCUGAGCCUGGAGUGCAGCUCAAUUAGCCGUGGAGAUGAGGCUCUUUUCACAGAGUCCAGCAUGACCUGGGACUGAAUUAGCCUCAGUAGGCAUGCCGCCAUGUCAGGAGAGGGAGGGAUUCCAGGGGGAAAGGUACAAGGAGAGGCAGAUUUUCCCUUCCCUCUCCAAAGACAGUAAAGGCAGUCUGCUUCUCUGUA
rnacentral:lncRNA from 1 species